GACGAACGCUGGCGGCGUGCCUAAUACAUGCAAGUAGAACGCUGAAGCGAGGAGCUUGCUCUUCUUGGAUGAGUUGCGAACGGGUGAGUAACGCGUAGGUAACCUGCCUUGUAGCGGGGGAUAACUAUUGGAAACGAUAGCUAAUACCGCAUAACAAUGGAUGACACAUGUCAUUUAUUUGAAAGGGGCAAUUGCUCCACUACAAGAUGGACCUGCGUUGUAUUAGCUAGUAGGUGAGGUAAUGGCUCACCUAGGCGACGAUACAUAGCCGACCUGAGAGGGUGAUCGGCCACACUGGGACUGAGACACGGCCCAGACUCCUACGGGAGGCAGCAGUAGGGAAUCUUCGGCAAUGGGGGCAACCCUGACCGAGCAACGCCGCGUGAGGGAAGAAGGGUUUCGGAUCGUAAAGCUCUGUUGUAAGUCAAGAACGGGUGUGAGAGUGGAAAGUUCACACUGUGACGGUAGCUUACCAGAAAGGGACGGCUAACUACGUG
rnacentral:rRNA from 1 species